rnacentral:lncRNA from 1 species
AACCAAGUCCACAACUUUUUGCCACUAAAAAAUUACCCUUUACACAUUACACGAUGAAAGCAAGAACCAAAAAGAAAAGCUGGGAUAACUAUCUCAAGAGUGCAAUCUUUCACAUAAAUUAUUAAAUUUGAAGUGUACAUCAACAUGAGAGAAAAAAAAAGAAAGAAAGAGGGCUCACUGUCAAGAUAGCUAGCAAGUGAAGUAGAAAGGUAAAUAUCCUCAGGGCCUGCCCAAGACAUUUUGCGUUUUCGGUAUCUCAAAAAUCACCGAAUUGCUCCUCACUAACCACAACAAUGGCAUUGCCAGCGCCAACUCAACUCUCUUCAGUCUUCCGCCCCAAUUACUUCAAUCUGGAUUCACAAUUACACAGCCUCAGUUUUAAGAUCGAAAUCGCUGAAAGAAACCAAAGACCCAAGUAUAGAAGUGGAAAGGGAGUUUUUUUGAAAGAAAAGGGGAGAGUUUAAUCUUCUAGGGUUUCCAGACUCUGAUUUUGUCAUAGAUUCAGAAGGGUUUAUUCAAUCAAAAACAGUUCGGCGUUUUCGUUAAUUCAUUAUUGUUGAAAUUACGGAAGAAAAUAUUACUAAAAUUUAAUUGAAAAUGAGUUAUUUUCAAUAAAAAUUAUUCUUCUGAAAAAUUUAAAAAAUAAUAUAAAUUUUUUAUAAAUUUAAUGUUAUUACAGAAUUAACUCACUUUUCUUUUCUUUAGGUAUGAAAUUCAAAAAUGUGUCUUACAUAUACCAAUAUAUAUAAUAAUAUAUUUUAUCUUUCUCUACUCUUUUAAUAAUCAAUUCUACUGUUAAUUAAUCAAAGUAAACCAUUCAAAAUAUACUGUUGCAUUCAUUUUUCUUAUACUACUAGGUAAUCAUUUCAUUAAAAAAAUACAUUAAAUUAGAACUAAAAAAAUGAUAAAAAUAAAUUGUAUAUUUUUAAUACAAUCAAGUAGUCAAACUCUAAAGAAAUAUCAUUAUUUAUGAUCCAAGAUGAUACAUAUUGAAAAAUCAAAUUACUCUAGAUUUGAUGAAUAGACAAAUCGUAGAAAUAAAAAAUAUUGAUACAUAAUAAUAAUAAUAACAUUAAUAACAAAAAUAAAAAAUGAAAAUGCACAAUAAUAAUAGAAAUAAAAUAUUAAAUACGUAAUAAUAAAAAUAAAAUACAAAUAUACAUUAAAAACAAAAAUAAAAAAUGUGAAUACACAAGCGAGAGUGUCUACGUUCCUAGUAAUAUAUAAAGAGGAUUUUUCAUUAUAAUUUUUUUCUAUUUUAUUUUUAUAUUAAUAUUUUAUUUUAAUUAUUUUGUAAUUUUAUAAUUACUUAAAUUUAAAAUUUAAAAAAUAAUAUUAAAUUUGAAAAAAAUUAAAUAUAAUUUAUAAUUAUCUAAGCAUAUCUGGUGAUAUAUUGUGAAAAAUAUAACCAACAUAAUACUUAAAUUUACAAAUGUAAUGUAAUAUGGUAAAUUUACAAAUAAUAAGUUUAUUUUUAAGUUUACAAAUGUAAUGCAAUUUACAAAUGUCAUGCCAGUAAAAGAACUUUAAAAAUGUCAUACAAUAUAAUUUUUAUCCUUUUUAUUUAAUUACAGUAAAAAAAAAUUAAAUAAAUUCAAAUUUAUAACACAAUAAACAUAAUUAUAUUAAAACAUUUAUUUGUUUUAUAUCACUAAUUUUUAUUUAUUAUUUACUAAUAUAAAACUUGGUGACUGUUUUUUUAAACUAAUAUACUCUCAUUUUAUUUAUCAAUUUUAAAUUUUUUAAAAUAUGGACUAGUUUGUUAAACGUGAAGAAACAAAUUAUUUUUUUAUAUCUUCAUCUUUCUUAAGAAUUAUAGUUUUUAUUUUUCUUAUUAUUUAGUUUAUAAUUACUAAAUAUCACGCAAUAUAUAUUUUUAUUAUUGGUAUAUAAUAGCGAUUUAAGUAAAAUUUCAUAAAUAUCACGUCAAUAUAAUUUAUUUAUUUUUAUAAAAUUAGUAAAUUUAAAUUUUUGAUUUUAUUAAUAUAAAUAGUUAAAUUGCAUGAUUUUUACUUAAAAAUUUAUAUAAUUUGGAUCCUAUCUGUCUGAAUAAACGACAAAUUGUAGGUAAAUUAAUUGAGAGUAUAAAUUUAUAAAUUAUUUUAAUAAAUACGAAUAUAUUAUAUCCAUAUAUAAAAAUAUUCCAUUUUAUAAAUAAAUUUUAAGAAUGAUAUUAUAGUUUUGUUUGAUUUUGAAAACUACUUUUCCAAAACAAAAUUAUAUAAAUAAAUAUAUAUAAAUUAUUCAGUUUUUUUUUUGUUUCUCCUACUGAAAAUUUGAGGCUCACAAAACAACUUUCUAUUUUUUCUUCUUCCACUUUCAUUAUGCUUAUUUGACAUUAAUAUAUAUAAAAAAGUAACUUUUAUUUUUAUAAUUAAAUAUCUUAUUUGGGAUUUUGAGUUUUAUUUUUUAUAUCAUAUCUGCAUAUUCUAAUACAAACAUCUUAUAAAAUUGAAGACUUAUGAAGUCAUAUAUGUAUAUGCAGGUAUAUUUGCUAUAUGUACGUAUACAUACUCUAAAUUUAUAAUUAUUCCAAUAAAAAAUUCUUAUCAAAAUUCAAGACUUUAGAGAUCAUAAAUCCAUUUUAUUCUAAAUGACUUUCAACGUGUUACAUUAUUUUUAAACCAUUCUUAAUGUUGUAACUAAUGAUUGUAAAUGUAUUUUUAUAUUUUAAUUGUAAUAUGCAUCCUCUCAUUAGAGGAACCAAUAUUAAUAGAAUGUUUUUGAAAGCAAAUGAAUGAUAGUAUUGAUUCCUGAGGCUAAUAUUACAAAACAAAUUCAAGAGUAUUCAACCCUCCCAUGAAAGGCAACAAUAGCAGAGAAAAAGAAAGCAAAAUAUGUGAAGAACAGCCGCUAUAAUAUUUGCGGAUGGAAAGGUGAAGGAUGAAUAAGGGUUGACUAAUCAAAGUCAAGGAAUUCCAUUCUUUUCCUCAUAGUCCCUUUCAGAUCUGAGGCCUCCCUUUCAGCUUUCUGUGCCUACAAAGCAUAAUCAAAGUUCCAUUAAAAAAUACAGCACUUCACAAGAGUCUGCUAUUAUAGGACUACAUCAGCAACUAUUUCCAAAGCAUAACAGAAAACCAAAUGACCUAUCUAUAUACAAAUUAAGUCAAGAAUCUGCUAUGUUUCUACGUACUGAUAGUUUUUGGAUUUUAAUUUGAAACUAUUUUGUUACUUAGAGAUUUGUAUAUUAUAAGGGUGUCUGUUAUGAUGGGUUUCUAAAUAGACAAUCAAAUAUUUAAGGCAUUUUUCUGCAUAAUCACAAUAUUGAGAUUUCCUUUUCUUCCUAUGAGAGUACUACUAUUUAUCAGAUAAACUGCAAACUAUGAAGCUGAUUACUAAUAAUCAGAACAAAUAAACAUUACAAUAGAUACAAUAGCUAAGCUAAAUACCAGCGUAUCAUUGUGAUCAGUUUCAAAAUUAGACCCAGGACAAGGAAUAUGACAUGAUAGAGAAGAGUAUGGGUGGGCCUAUCUCAAUCGCUAUAAUGCCACAACCAUCUACAGAAAGAAAACAUUUUCAAGGAUGACUUUACCGACACAAUAAGCUAGAAUUUGGUAGGUAGAGUACAUGAAUAUUUAUUAUAGACCCAUCCACUUAUCCCUUAAUCUGUCCAUUUUUCUUGCUCAUCAUAGUAUAAUUUGGCAUUAUUUUCCCAGCCAAGGUUACUGACCAAAUGAUUGAGAGAUAUCAGAAACAAAAUACAUCAUCUGAUUCCACUCCACAUGCUUUAUUUAUUCAAGACGCAAUGAAGGUUAAAGAAGAGAAGUAGGAAAGCAAUGAAUUUGAAGGGUAGUCACAACUUUGUAUUAUGUUUACUAAAAUGGGGGAUAAGGAGAUAGAAAAAUACACAUAAAGAGCAUGAAUUAAAAAAAGAAACGAUUUUUGAAUAUCUACCCUCUUGAUUUCUGCUGUAGAAACACGAGUCAUGUGUUCAGGAAGUUCCUCCCUCUCCAAGUCCUAAAAGUUGAAAGAUAUGUGAUUGCAAAUAAGAUUGAUUAAUGGAAAAUACUCAGAUGCAAAGGGAAAUAGUUAGUAAUCUUACCAGCUCACCAAUCAGAACAACAUUUUCCCCACGGAUCACAUAGAGACCCAAAGGGAUGUCACAAUACAGCUCACCAACAAUAACCCUCUCACAGGCACCCUCAAGAACUGCAUUAGCUGCAUAUUAUUGAGGAGACAUUUUAGAAAGUCAACUUAUUGCAUGUCAAAACUUUACACAAUUUAAGGAGAAGUUGGUACCAAAUUGAUCAAAAGAGCGAAGUGUCCCCAUGAGUUUUCUACCAUCUCUCAGCAAUACAAGAAGUUUCUCUACAACAAAAAUUAGUGUGAGGCCACAAAAGUUUAUGAGAAAUACAAAUCAGUGUCACCUCCAAAGAAAACUCAAAUUAAUUUACUAACACCCAACAGGUUUUCACUGAUUUUGAACACUUUCUCAGAAUCAGAAAGACUGGUAACAUCAAAACUACUCAGACACAAAUUACAAUUCAAAAGCAAUAUCAUUUCCAUCUAGAGUUCACCACAACAGCAUACUCUUAUGCCUUCAGUUUUACAGAAACGACUAUAGUUUUCAAGCAUUUAGAGGUAUAGAAUAGACUUGUAGAGGAAAGUUUUAGGUCCUGGGUAAUUUGCAACACUAACAUAUAAAUGCUCCGUAUAUUAUCUCAUACAAUUGUAUUAUAUCACAUAUAAUCAUGGCUAUAUAUUUUCAUGUUCCACGGUUCCCCGCUCUCUACAGUUACUAGAUUAUUUACACAAGAAGAUUUUGGACAUCAAGCCCUUCUUAAUAUAUUUACACUAGAGGCUCUUGGAUAUCUAAUUACACGAGAGGAUCUUGAAAAUUGAAUCACCAGAGGAUAUCUAACCAAGUCCACAACAUUUUGGCAUUGAAAAUUACCCUUUAAACACUAGACAAUGAAAUCAAGUGCCCAAUCUUUCAUAUAAACAAGAAAAUUUGAAGUGUAUACCAAUAUGAGAUAAAGAGAAAGAGAGAGUGCUCACUGUCAAGAUAGCUGGCAAGUGAAGUGGAAAGGUAAAUAUCCUCAGGGCCUGC